rnacentral:rRNA from 1 species
GAUGAACGCUGGCGGCGUGCCUAAUACAUGCAAGUCGAGCGAAGCGGGGACGGGUAAGUAACACGUGGAUAACCUCCUAUAAGACUGGGAUAACUUCCGGAAACCGGAGCUAAACCGGAUCCUUAUAGAUGGAUCCACGCUGCAUUAGCUAGUUGGUAGGGAAACGGCUUACCAAGGCAACGAUGCAUAGCCGACCUGAUAGGGUGAUCGGCCAAACUGGAACGGAGACACGGUCCAGACUCCUAAGGGAGGAAGCAGUGGGGAAUCUUCCGCAAUGGGCGAAAGCCUGACGGAGCAACGCCGCGUGAGUGAUGAAGGUCUUCGGAUCGUAAAACUCUGUUAGUAGGGAAGCGGUACCUAAUCAGAAAGCCACGGCUAACUCCGUGCCAGCAGCCGCGGUAAUAC